ACCCCAAGUUAUUUAAGUUAGGUUUCAGUGUUAAUUAUUUAUCCUGCUUUUAAUUACUUCUCUAUUUCUUUAAAGAUUGUUGUGUUUUUGUUAUUUAUUUAAACUCCGCUUUGUACUAAGUUAUUUCGCCUAUAGAGGCCCUUAUUUUGACGCGCGGCUUGCCGGAAGUGGUCAGGUGCGCGAGCGCGCGCAGAUCACGGAAGCAGGGAGAUCGGAGAAGCGCGCCUAGCACGAGGGAAAGAGCGAUCGCUUGCACAGAGAAAUGCACGGAGCUAAAGUUACAUUUAAGGACUGAUUUAAGAGGGAUUUAAUGCAUAUUUGAGUUUGUUUUUUGUUCUGUUCAUCUUCAUUGUUUGAACACCUGGUUGGAAGGGAGAACAAGGUUCACAUGGUAUUUGUAAGGAAUUGGAUGCCAACUAACCGUCUUUGCACUGAGGGAUAUUGCAGCUCUCGUAUCUGCGUUCGGGGUCAGUGGUGUAACACCAGGGGCCGAUGCGGUCGCCGUCUGGAUUUCGGCAGUAGUUCAGUUCCAGGCCAUUAGUCGCAGACGGAGUCCAUCUAUUCCCAACAGAGGUCACAUCAUUCUAACAUCGCAGCCGCACAAUGAACCGUUCCUGCUACAACCACUGAACUAACACCAAACUGCCUCAGGUUUCUAUAUCUUGUCCAACUUCUCGACUUACAGUUUUCCGAAAACUGACCUGGAAAAGUGGAGAAAAGUCACAUCGACUUAACAUUGGACUAAAUUUUAUGAUCUCAUAAUUUUGCGCCAGACUGUCAAACAGAUUUGUGGUUGGGCUCAUUUAACUCAGAC